UACAGAACUGAAGCCUAGCUUCCUUA
rnacentral:piRNA from 1 species